rnacentral:rRNA from 1 species
CAGCCGUAAACUAUGCGCGUUAGGUGUACUGGUGACCACGGUGCGACCGUUGUCGGUGCCGUAGGGAAGCCGUGAAGCGAGCCACCUGGGAAGUACGGCCGCAAGGCUGAAACUUAAAGGAAUUGGCGGGGAGCACCACAACGGGUGGAGCCUGCGGUUUAAUUGGACUCAACGCCGGGAAGCUCACCGGAUAAGACAGCGGAAUGAUUGCCGGGCUGAAGACCCUGCAUGACCAGCUGAGAGGAGGUGCAUGGCGUAGUCGUGU